rnacentral:sRNA from 1 species
CUCUAGAGCAGACACCCUCUUGCAGUUUGGGACAUACUUGAUUCCUGCAGCCUACGUGAACUGAGGCCUACUGCCCUGUUCCGUUAUGGACUGGGGGUAGAUUUGGGAGUGAGCCUUCUUUUCCUUCUUCUGUUAAAGUCACUUUGAAACCCCAAGUUGUAUUGGCUUCCUUCUGUGUUUUAUAAAUGUCCACCUCAGUCCCUUGCUCUCGUGCUUAAAAGAUACCACUCAGCUGAAAUGUUCACCUUUGAUGCUGACUUAGGGUUAGAGGCAGGUAUGGCCAUCCCAGAGACCCACUGGCAGCUGAAUGUCCCAAUACUCAACAUCCACGGUCCCUGUCAUCUACUCUGGUUUUAACCAUUACCCACAUGAGCAGCCACUGCUGUUCACUGUCCCUUGCCCCAGGUGCCCCCUGCUCCUCCAGGCGCCCCCUGCUCCUCCAGGCCCCCCUGCUCCUCCAGGCCUCCCUGCUCCUCCAGGCACCCCCUGCUCCUCCAGGCCCCCACUGCUCCUCCAGGUCUCCCUGCUCCUCCAGGCCCCCACUGCUCCUCCAGGUCCCCCUGCUCCUCCAGGCCCCCACUGCUCCUCCAGGCCUCUCUGCUCCUCCAGGUGCCCCCUGCCCCUUCAGGCCCCCACUGUUCCUCCAGGUCCCCCUGCUCCUCCAGGCGCCCCCUGCUCCUCCAGGCUCCUCCUCCAGGCCCCCUGCUCCUCCAGGCGCCCCCUGCUCCUCCAGGCCCCCCUGCUCCUCCAGGCCCCCCAGACUCUUUGCCAAACCCUUGUAGCCAUUUCCACCUAUUCCAAGCCACCAGUGACCUUGCAAUUGGACAAAAUCGCCAGCAGAUAAAUGGCACUCAAAUGGAAUGGAAUUCAGAAGUCUGGAGCAGGGCUUCUGGAGGAUAACAGAUGGGAAGGCAGCCUUUCCUCCAGCCUCACAUUCCCAGGCCCUCGUGGCUUUGGUAAAGUCAGCUGAGCUCCUGAAUUCACCAAGACCCAGGGGAACAAUGAUGAGCAAGAGUUGUCCUGGGCCUCGAGGAGCUUGUAGUCCAGUAGAGAAUCUGGGAACUUAGAUAACCUGCAGUACAAUACAGAUAAACACAUAUGGAAGUGUUUAGGCCAUCUUUCUUCAAAUGUAAGGGUUUUGCUUGAAAAUACAGCCUUUUGAUUUAAAAGGUCAUCAGAAAAAUAGGUGAGAAGAGCUAAGAAAAUUUUGGAAAAGAGAAAACUGAGGAAGGAUUUAUACUAUCUGAUAUUGGAAAAUUUUGUAAAAACUAAGAAUGAGAGCACUGUGUUAUCGGAUGAAUGGACAAUCAGUGAAAUAGACAGAAAACCCAAAGCAGGUGCAAGCCCACUUCCUCACUCAUUUAUUAUUUCACUCAGCUCACUGCGUGCCAGGCACUAAAUUCUGAGCACUGAGGGAAAGCAGUGAACAAAAAAGAAAAAAGAAUUUCUGUUCCAAGUGAGGAGAGAGACGAACAUGUGAAAAUUAUAGUAUGUGCAAUGGUACAGGAAUGCUGGUGAGGGCCAGGAAUGGCUGGAGGUGUAAAGAGGUAGCCAGGUAAGGCCUUUUGAAGAAGAUAAUAUUUGAGUCAAGACCUGAGGGGGUGAAAGAAUGAGCCAUGUCAAUGUCAGGGGAAGAGCAUUCUACAGAGCAGUCAGCUCGUGCAAAGGCCCUAGGGCAGGAGUAGGCCUGGUGAGUUGGAGAAACAGCCAGGAGGGCCAUGUGUCUGCAGUAGAAUUUGAAGCAGAAAGUAGUUCAGUUCAAGGCACAUUUGCUACUUGCCUGCCUGGAGUCCGGCACUGUCCUAGGCCCAAGGGAUUCAAAUACAAUCCAAUGGGGAAGACAGUCACAAGAUCAAAGUAAUUCAGUAGUUGGGAGGUUCUGAUUUAGAGGAAAGGCAAGGGUAGGUAGAAGGAGGAGACACUGGGAGGUUUCCUGGAGAGAUGGCCCAGGGUUGAGUCCAAGUCUUACCUUUCUCAUUGAAAUGAUGCUCCAGGGUCCAAAGCCAAUGAGAAGCUCACAGCUAAUGCAGAGCAGCGGCCGCUCUGGAAGCAGCCUAGUGUCCCCGUUCAGCAGCGCCACAGCUGUGCUCCCGCCAAGUCUGAAUCUGACCACACCUGCUUCCACCUCCCAGGAUGCCAGCCAGUGCCAGCCCAGCCCAGACUUCAGCCAUGAUCGGCAGCUCAGGCUGUUGCUGAGCCAGCCCAUCCAGCCCAUGAUGCCCGGGUCCUGUGACGCAAGGCAGCCCUCGGAAGUCAGCAGGACGGGACGGCAAGUCAAGUACGCACAGAGCCAGACCGUGUUUCAAAAUCCAGACGCACACCCCGCCAACAGCAGCAGCGCCCCGAUGCCCGUCCUGCUGAUGGGGCAGGCGGUGCUCCACCCCAGCUUCCCCGCCUCCCAACCAUCGCCCCUGCAGCCUGCACAGGCCCGGCAGCAGCCACCGCAGCACUACCUGCAGGUACAGGCACCAACCUCUUUGCACAGUGAGCAGCAGGACUCGCUACUUCUCUCCACCUACUCACAACAGCCAGGGACCCUGGGCUACCCCCAACCACCCCCAGCACAGCCCCAGCCCCUACGUCCUCCCCGAAGGGUCAGCAGUCUGUCUGAGUCGUCAGGCCUCCAGCAGCCGCCCCGAUAAUGCCCCGGCACUGAAGUCGGGACACAAUCAGCUUUAACCAAUGGAUGAGGGGGGUGGCCACAGGAGAUGGGGAGAGGAGUCUGAACUAAACCCCUGGCUUUUGUGCACACUGCAUACGUUUCAGAACUCCUGGAUGGUAACCAUCUCUGGAGUGCAGCGCUUGCUGCAGUGGAAAUGAUCAGGAAUACUGACCGUGUUUCUCUUGCCUCCGAGGUUCUUGGGCACACUCUAUAGCCAUACUGGACAGGAACCAGGUGCCCCGUGUAGGCAUCGUCGGUCGGUUUGCCGUCAGAGAUGGCGCAUCUCGCUGCAUCCCCCGAGAGUACACCGGUUGCUCUAGCCACCUGCGGCUCGCCCAUCUGCGCUAGCUGGCCUUCACGCUCUUGAUCGUCUUUCCUUUGUAUUGGAGAAGGACUGGGUCAGAGAUCUGUUGGAGAGAGAGAAUAAAGAGAUUAUUUUUCAUUAUUUUUAAAUGGUUGUUUUUGUUUUAAUUUGCACAGCUACACAGAGGAAAUAACUUAGGCACUUUCUGUUUUUUUUAAAAAAAUAAUAAGGUCUCAUGGCUUCAUUCAGAGACCACAGUAACAACAGCAGCCCACCAAUCAGAGAAGCUGGUUGUUAUUAACCAAGCUACAGAUUCACACUUUCUGGCCUAAACCCUAAUGGGAUGAGGCUUUUCACCCCAGGCCAUGCUGGUGGUGAUUUUUUAGCCCCUAAAUAAAACACUGGACUAUUUCCUGUUUACUUCAUUGAUUGCAACUACAAAGGUGGACUCAAAGCAAAGCACAAUCAUGCCAGCCAACAUUCCAGAAUUCUGCUGAGAACUCCAAGUCUGUGAGGGGAGAGGUUUCACAAGCCAGACAGGCCUGGGGGACUGCAGUCCCCAAGGAGACCCUGCCACGUGCUGGCCCUUUGAGUGAGAAUGCUGCAUCUUUCUACAUAUCUUCAUGAGAAUACUGAGAAUUGGAUUUUCCUUUUCAAAAUGCACUUUGCUUUUUUUGUAUGUUUUGUUAUGUUGAGAUGUUUCUAAAGAAAAGAUUUUAUGUAAUUAUAAGAUGAAGCGUAGUGAAUUGUACAGCUGUUGUAAUAAUGACCUAUUUCUAUAUAAAAUAAAAUUGUAUGGCUUAUGUGUAAAUUAUUUUGUAUCUGAGAUACCAGUUCCUUUUCCCAAAUAUAAAAGUAUAAAAGUUUUCUUGUGUUUUUCUGUGAGUGAAAAUUUUGUAAUAAAUUAACAAAUUUG